UACGUAGGGGGCAAGCGUUGUCCGGAUUUAUUGGGCGUAAAGAGCGUGUAGGCGGCCAUGUAGGUCCGUUGUGAAAACUCGAGGCUCAACCUCGAGACGCCGAUGGAAACCAUGUGGCUAGAGUCCGGAAGAGGAGAGUGGAAUUCCUGGUGUAGCGGUGAAAUGCGCAGAUAUCUGGAGGAACACCGGUGGCGAAGGCGGCAUCCUGGACCAUUACUGACACUGAAUAGCGAAAGCCAGGGGAGCAAACGGG
rnacentral:rRNA from 1 species